rnacentral:rRNA from 1 species
GAUGAACGCUGGCGGCGUGCCUAAUACAUGCAAGUCGAGCGAACGGACGAGAAGCUUGCUUCUCUGAUGUUAGCGGCGGACGGGUGAGUAACACGUGGAUCACCUCCUUAUCAGACUGGGAUCACUUCGGGAAACCGGCGAUAAUCCCGGAUAAUAUUUUGAACCGCAUGGUUCAAAAGUAAAAGACGGUCUUGCUGUCACUUCUCGCUGGUUCCGCGCUGCUUUAGCUAGUUGGUAAGGUAACGGCUUAUCACGGCAACGAUGCGUAGCCGACCGGAUAGAGGGAUAGGCCGCACGAGAGGGUGAACACGGUCCAGGCUACUGCGGGAGGCAGCAGAAGGGAAUCUGCCGCAGUAGUCGGAAGCCUGACGGAGCGACGGCGCGUGAGUGAUGAAGGUCUUCGGAUCGUAAAACUCUGUUAUGAGGGAAGAACAGAUGUGGAAGGAACUGAACACAUCGUGACGGUACCUAAUCAGAAAGCCACGGCUAACUACGUG